rnacentral:rRNA from 1 species
UACGGAAGGGGCAAGCGUUGUUCGGAAUCAUUGGGCGUAAAGGGCGCGUAGGUGGUUCUGUAUGUCUACCGUGAAAGCGUACGGCUCAACCGUAUUUUGUCGGUGGAAACUGCAGGACUUGAGGCUGGGAGGGGCUGGUGGAAUUCCCUGUGUAGCGGUGAAAUGCGUAGAGAUGGGGGAGAACACUCGUGGCGAAGGCGGCCAGCUAGACCAGUUCUGACACUGAGACGCGACAGCGUGGGGAGCAAACAGG